GACGAACGCUGGCGGCGUGCCUAAUACAUGCAAGUCGAACGCACUCUCGUUUAGAUUGAAGGAGCUUGCUCCUGAUUGAUAAACAUUUGAGUGAGUGGCGGACGGGUGAGUAACACGUGGGUAACCUGCCCUAAAGUGGGGGAUAACAUUUGGAAACAGAUGCUAAUACCGCAUAAAACCUAACACCGCAUGGUGUAGGGUUGAAAGAUGGUUUCGGCUAUCACUUCAGGAUGGACCCGCGGUGCAUUAGUUAGUUGGUGAGGUAAAGGCUCACCAAGACCGUGAUGCAUAGCCGACCUGAGAGGGUAAUCGGCCACACUGGGACUGAGACACGGCCCAGACUCCUACGGGAGGCAGCAGUAGGGAAUCUUCCACAAUGGACGAAAGUCUGAUGGAGCAACGCCGCGUGAGUGAAGAAGGUUUUCGGAUCGUAAAACUCUGUUGUUGGAGAAGAAUGUAUCUGAUAGUAACUGAUCAGGUAGUGACGGUAUCCAACCAGAAAGACCG
rnacentral:rRNA from 1 species